rnacentral:rRNA from 1 species
UACGGAGGGUGCGAGCGUUGUCCGGAAUCACUGGGCGUAAAGGGCGCGUAGGCGGCAUGCCAAGCGUGUGGUGAAAGCCCGGGGCUCAACCCCGGGUCGGCCGUGCGGACUGGCGUGCUCGAGCACUGUAGGGGCGGGUGGAAUUCCGGGUGUAGCGGUGGAAUGCGUAGAGAUCCGGAAGAACACCGGUGGCGAAGGCGGCCUGCUGGGCAGUAGCUGACACUGAGGCGCGACAGCGUGGGGAGCAAACAGG